UUAAUUAAAAAAGGACUUUCUUCAUGGUUAUCACUCUACAAGUAUAUCACAAAUGUGCAAGACUUUAUCCAGGAAUGUGUGUUUGCAAAUGUUAAGAUGUAAGUGCUACAGUUUGUAGGAAAAAACUCAAAAUGAAUAUAUUCAACAAGCAUUAAUAUAUGAAUCAUAAUAUUGCAUCAAGCAUUAGAUUAGUUCUUACUAUAAAAUUUUUUUUUUAGUUGAGAACAAGACCGAAGAAAAAUUAGUUUUAAAAAAGAGUUAUUAGAAAAGAUCUAGAUGCAACUUCAGUACUAGAACAACAUAAAUUAGCAUUAUGUUGUAGUGCAAGUUUUGUUGUUUUUGGAGUUUUGAAGUUUGAAGUUUGUACAACACAUUUGGAUAUAAUUUAGAUAAGAAGUUUGAAUUUUAACUUUCAUUAAAGUUUAAUUUGGAUUUGUUUAUUCUGGUUAACUAAAAUUCAGAAAAAAUAUAUUUACAGCAGUACUGUGAUUAGUUUUGUUUACUUAAAUGUUUAAUUUAUUUAAAUGUAAUGUUUGCAUAAACCUAAAUAAAAAAUUGUUUACUGUUUUUAAAGCGAUAAUAUAUGUAAGGUAUGCUUAAAAAUGGGUAUACCAGUAUACACACUUAUAAGAAAAAAUAAAAAUUUCACUCCAUUAAACAGCAUGUCUUUGUUGCCUAGUGGCUAAUAAAGUGUCAAAACCGAGACCAAUAGGUCUUUUAUGUAUGAGCAUAUAUAGGCCUACAUAGCGUGUAGCUUAUAUUGACACAUGUCCAAUAACUUUACAAUUCAGUCUAUGUGUAUUUAAUUACUAGUCAGUCUAUAUGUAUUUCAUUUCUCAACAUCGGCUCCCCUAUUACAAAACUAUAAAAAAUUUUAAAUGACCUAUUUGCAAUGCGUAAUUGUAUAAUGUAUUCCAUAUAUCUAGUUAUGUUGAUAUGUUCAUAUAUACUGUUUGUUAUAUUUUAGUUAAUAGAAAAUAAAGCAUAAAUUAUGCCUUUAGAAGUUGAAGAAUCUUGUGCAACAAAUUAUUUUGAAGAUUAUUCUUGUGAGAUUUACAGCUAUUUAUCAACGCCCCUGUUAAACAUUCUUAACCAAGAGCGCAUCAAUUACUGUGAUGAUUUAAAUAACAUGAGAUGCACGAGGCACUGUAGAUGUGCAUGCGAUAAUUAAUGAAACAUGUUAUGUAUUGUGGGUGAUGUGUAGAAAUUGUUUCUCAACAAGCUGUUAAUUUUAUGGAAGCUGAAGAUGAGCACUUUUUAGAUAUGUAAGUUGCUUUUUAUUUUUUAUUGCUUUUAUUUGUUAGAUACUCAAAUAUGUUUUACAUUAAUCUAAUUAUUUAGUACAGUGUUAUUGUCUGGUCAAAUCUUUCAAAUUUACUUUUUUAGUUUCUAAUUAUUUAAAUAUUAAAUAACAAUAUUUAUGUGAUUGUUGUUUUAAUUAUAGUCUCAUAGCUUAUCAUAUAUUGUAAGUUUUAAAUUUGAAUAUAUCUUUAUCUUAAGUUUUGAAGUUAAUAUUUAUUUUAAUGUAAUGAAAAUGUAAUUAAAUGUGUUUGAUUUUCUAAGUUUUUGUUGAAUAGCAGUUUGUAUUAUUCUGUCCAACAACAUGGGUUUCAAAGUGGAGGGGGGUACAAUAGUCAAAUUCUAAAUAAAGUCUUCUAUAUCUAGAAUAGGCAAUAAGAUUUUCCCUCUAUUAAAGGGAAGGAAUUACCCUUAUCAAAAGUGCAGUUUAAGAAGUUAUAGUGGGUAGUGGAAAAUACAUAACUACAUCUACAAAUAAAAGAGGUAUGUAAAUGUAUUUUGUUUUAUAUGUAUAUUUUUAUUGAUCUAUUUUUUAAGUUUUGUUUGUAAAUAAUUAUACUCUUUCAAAAACAUAUAUAUUUUUUCUUUUAAUAUUAAUUUAGUUAAAAAUUAAGUAACGUUUACAAAAAAAUUUGUUAAAGUUGUACAUUUUGUUUUUACACUAAAUAUCAUAAAAAUUUUAGUCAACAAAACAUGCAAAAUUUUAGAAUGAUUCAAGAGCUGCUGUGACAGUGUUUAUGAUUCUCCAUGUCAAAAUAAUAUAUUUUAAAUAAAAUUUUUUGAAUAAUAAAUUUUCAUAAUCACCGGUUAUUGCAGGUAUUCAUAGGUUUAUUAAGUACUUGCAAUAAGAAAGAACUUUAAUGACCUUUAAAAAACGUAAUAAACUUAUUAUGAAAGAAUUGUUCUUUAUCAAUGUGUCCUUAUCUAUUCAAGAAAAUAUUAUUGUUUUUAAUAAAAAGAAUCAUACUUAAGAAAAAACUAACUAUUAAAACUUAACUAUUUUACUAACUAAAACUUAACUAUUUUACCUUCAUUAUCUUGUAGAGGUAAAGUUAUUUUUUAAUGUUUUUAACUGCAAGAAUUAUGUAUUAAAAACAUUUUAAAUUUAGUUGUUAUUUUAUUUCUUUAGUUCUACUUUAGUGCUCUACAGACUAUUUGUUUACUUUGUCUACUGUUAAAAUAUGGUUUUAACUUAGUAAGCUUGAAUUAUUUUAACUUUACUAUGUUGAUCAUUUGUUGUUUUUUUUGCAAACAAGGUAAGAAUAGUUUUAAUUUCUGGUUGAAUAACAUUUUUUUGUUUUUUUAGUUAUAAGAAAUUUUUUCUGUUACACAUAAAGUAUUUUUUCUUACAGGUUUUGAUUGUUUAAUCAGCAACAGGUUAAUUGGUUUGCAGUGCAAUUUUGCCUUCUUUGCUUUUUUCAUGUCAUUAUUUAAUUUUGUGUCAAUUUAGACAUCUUACAGUUUUUUUUAAGCAUUUUGCAGAACGAAUAGAGGGCCCACAUCUCCCAAGGUGUGGGUUCAAGUUUAGGGCUGAAGCACCCCCCACCUCUUUAUAUAUAUGUACGUAUGUUGAGGAGGAGAGGGAGUAGUAGAUAAAAAAAACGCUGCGUCUAUAAUUAGUAUUUAUGUUAUAGUAUUCUACCAAUUAAACCAAAUAUUGGUUAAUCUACCAAUCCUUUAUUGUUAAUGCAAAUUUUGUCAAAUUUUUUUUUGUAAACAUACUUUUUUUAUAUAUAUUUUUAUUGUUGUUAUAUAUUAAUAAAUUGAUUUCCAGUUAAUAAUUAAUACAAUACAGAUUAUAUUUUAUUCCUUUAAAACAUGCCAAAAGCGGUUGAAGGGCUUUGUGUGGGUUUAAAUCCUUUUGUUUACACUUUCGUUGUGUUGUUUUGUGUUGAUAGAUAAGAUGAUUUGUGUUGAUAGAUAAAAUGAUUAUUGGGUAGGAUAUGUAUUGGAUUAUUGGGUUAGAUUUUUUUAUUUUGAUCAUUUAUCUUUAGCCUUGCUUUUUUAGAAUGAGUUGUUAAUCCAAACUUGCAACAGUAAACUUGUAACUUUCACAAAAGAAAAACAACCUCACUAAGUCAAAUUCCUUCCCUUACGACUGAUUUUGAAUGUUCCUUAACAGUAGAAUUUAAGAAAUAUUCUGAAUGUUGAUUGUGUUCAAAAAGCUAAAAUGAAGCUUGAUAAUCUCUGUAUCAUAUACUAAAAGAUAUGUAAUAAUGAAAGAAUUUUUCAAAUUAAAAUGUAUUUAUUAUAAUUAAAAGUAAUU
rnacentral:lncRNA from 1 species